UUACUUUCGCGUCGCUGGAGAGGCUUUAAUUGCACGAGCUGCGGUUGAAACUGUGAAUGCGAUUCCAUCCAAGAACCACAGCCUACGUUAACCAGCGAUCUGCUCGUGUUCGCUGCUUCGCGUCAACCUGCGACGGCUUGUGGCACGAGCGACAACGUACAGUGGAAUGUAGUGCCUGGGCGCUUGGAGACCACUGCCCUUUUUCGUGCAUUUGAAAAACAGCGACCGCGAACUACUACUUCAGCGGAAUACAACAGCUUGUCCGCUUUGCAUUCUUCUUAUGGUGACUGCCACAGCUCUGCUAAGCACGCGCGGGCGUCUCAACCAUUGGCGGCGAGGAGUUACGGAGUCGCCAUCUAUCGGAAGCGCCUCGCUGGCGUACUAUGAGGGAUCACGUGGCGUGCCCUUCAUAGGUUUUGCUGUCAGCGCUCACUGAAAACACCACGCGCGAGCUCUCCCGGACAUUUCUGCUCUUACAUCGAACUGGGCCACCGCUCUGCGCAUCUCCAACCUCAAGACGCAAGACUGGGCAGACCAGCGGGCCCGAGAGGCGGUGACGAGGCAAGGCCUCGAAGUCCCCUCCUGGGAGACCUGAGCCCGGAUCGUUAACAUUGCUGGAUUUUCUACAAAGUUGUUUCCAUCCAUCCAUUAGGUGUGUUGCACGAAAACCGUGCUGUGUGUUUCGCAUCUCUUGCGUCAAAGUAUAUUGAAGCUCAUAUAAUUUGUGUGCAAUGUAAGUUCCGCUAUGUAUUUGAUAUGUAUAUGUAUACAAAUGCCUAAGUGUGCAUGGUCAUUCUAUGUAGGUUCUUGAAUGUACUGUAUGCUGCUGUCAGCAGCACGGAGAUGAAGUCCAGUUAUGCGGCAUAGAGUCCCUUUCAGUUUUGUUUACUUCACAGUUGUGUGUUGUGCUGAUUGUAACUGCACCUUACAAAUGCUCUGCCGAAAUAAAUAAAAGAUCUCAUUCCUGUUCA